UGACCGGGCCGUGACUGGCGCGCUGGGAUGGGACGGACCAUCGGGGAGCGGCCUGUGUGUGACCGAGUGCCGUGCGCCUGGGCCAGACCG
rnacentral:ncRNA from 2 species